rnacentral:lncRNA from 10 species
AUGGGGAUAAAGAUCACGGAAGAGGAAUUCAUGGAUCUAACAGAAAGACUACCAGAUGACUCUGAAAAGAAAGUCAAACUAAAUAAGUUGAUUAAAGAAUUGAGUGCUGUUUUAGGAAAACAGGUAGAUGUCUGUGACCUAGAAGAUGCACUAAAAGACAUGGAAAUAGAGGUCCCAUAUGAGGACUACUUGCAUUUAGUAAAAACUUUGCCGCUUGAUGCUGAAGGAAAGGUGUAUCAAAAAAGGUUGCUGGAUGGUAUAAAGACUGUUAAAAGAGGAAAAGUUGAUAUAAAUGACCUGGAUAAAUUUCUGGAAAAUAUGGGGAUUGAGCUCUCAGAAAAAGAACUUGAAGAUUUUUCAAAAGACCUACCAGUUGAUGUUGAUGAGAAGGUUGAUCUGAAAAACAUGAUGCUGAGAAUAAAAGAUUUUACAGGAGAAAAGGUUGAUGCCAGAGAUCUGAAAAAUGUUCUUGGAGACAUGGGGAUAGAAGUCAAUGAUAAGGACUGCGUGGAACUGCUAAAAUUACUACCAGUUGAUGGUGAUAAGAAAGUUUUUCGGAAUAGAUUGCUAACGGGUUUGAAGUCUUUCAAAGGAGGAAAGGUUGAUAUCGGUAACCUGAAGACGAUUCUUGGGAACAUGGGGAUCAAGCUCAAAAAUAAGGAACUUCAAAGUGUGAUACAAAAUCAACCUGUUGAUGCUAAUGGAAAUGUUCCUCUGAAAAAGGUGAUGGAUGAUGUGAAAGCAAUUAUAGGAGAAAAACUUAACGUGGAAAAUCUAAAAAAUAUUCUCGAAGGCCUUGGAAUAGAAUUCACACCUAAAGAAUACUUGGAACUGGUACAAAAUCUGCAAAUUGAUGGUGAGCACUUCAAAUACUACUGGACCUUUUGAAGAAGUUUAGCCCUAUGUACUUAAGACAACCUAACAAAAAAAAAAGAAAAAAGAUACCUAUUAGAUAUUCUAGUUUAAAAAAUAAAAAUGGCGGCAGGGCGCGGUGGCUCACGCCAGUAAUCCCAGCACUUUGGGAGGCCGAGGCGGGCAGAUCACGAGGUCAGGAGAUCGGGACCAACCUGGCUAACACGGUGAAACACCGUCUGUACUAAAAAUACAAAAAACUAGCCGGGCAUGGUAGCACACGCCUGUAGUCCUAGCUACUCGGAAGGCUGAGGCAGGAGAAUGGCGUGAACCUGGGAGGCGGAGCUUGCAGUGAACGGAGAUGCGCCACUGCACUCCAGUCUGGGCGACAGAGCGAGACUCUGUCUCAAAAAAAUAAUAAUAAUAAAAUAAAUAAAUAAAAAUGACAGUGUAAGAAAUUUUAGCAUGACCUUGUUCUUCCUUUGAGAAGUUCUUUCUUUGAGA